CAUGAUGAUGUCACUGACUCUGCUGCUGGCCACCCUGGGGCUCCUUGUUCAGGCCUCAUCAGGAGAAAUCCUCCUGACUCAGUCUCCUGGAUCUCAGUCUGCUGUUCCAGGACAGACUGUCUCCAUCAGCUGUGAAGCCAGUUCGAGUGUUAGUGGCUACCUCUCCUGGUACCUUCAGAAACCUGGAGAAGCUCCUAAACUCCUGAUAUAUUACGAUUCAACCCGUCAGUCUGGAGUUUCAGAUCGUUUCAGUGGAGGUGGAUCUGGUACUGACUACACUCUGACCAUCAGUGGAGUUCAGGCUGAAGAUUCAGGAGUUUACUACUGUCAGCAGGGUGCGAGCUACCCGUGGACUUUUGGUGGAGGAACCAGACUGGAUGUUGGAAGUGAUGCCCCUCCCACCCUGACGGUGCUGCCCCCCUCCAGUGAGCAGCUGCAGCAGGGGACGGCCACGCUCAUGUGCCUGGCCAACAAGGGCUUCCCCUCAGACUGGAGUCUGUCCUGGAAGGUGGACGGCAGCAGCAGCAGCAGCAGCUGGGAGCAGAGCAGCAGCCCCGGGGUGCUGGAGAAGGACGGCCACUACAGCUGGAGCAGCACCCUGAGGCUCUCUGCAGACCAGUGGAGGAAGGUGGGCUCUGUGACCUGUGAGGCCACCCAGGGCUCCCAGACUCCGCUCUCAGAGACUCUGAGGAGAGACCAGUGUUCCCAGUCCUGAUCUGACUCACUGCUUUUACUCUGCUACUGCUCUCAGUCUGCACUCUGUAACUCUCUCUAUCUCACACCUUCUUGCAUUUGUUGAUGCUUUCAACAUUUUAAAACAAUAAAGAUUUUAUUAUGUGUAU